rnacentral:rRNA from 1 species
AUUGAACGCUGGCGGCAGGCCUAACACAUGCAAGUCGAGCGAGCGGCGGACGGGUGAGUAAUGUGUGGGAAACUGCCUGAUGGAGGGGGGUAAAUAUAGGAAACGGUAGCUCAUACCGCACAUCAUCAGAUGUGCCCAGAGGGGAUUAGCGAGUGGGUGGGGUAAUGGCUCACCCCGCCGACGAUCCCUAGCUGGUCUGAGAGGAUGACCAGCCACAAUGGUACUGAGACACGGUCCAGACUCCUACGGGAGGCAGCAGUGGGGAAUAUUGCGCAAUGGGCGCAAGCCUGAUGCAGCCAUGCCGCGUGUGUGAAGAAGGCCUUCGGGUUGUAAAGCACUUUCAGCGGGGAGGCGUUACCCACAGAAGAAGCACCGGCUAACUCCGUGCCAGCAGCCGCGGUAAUAC